CACACUGUACCAUUUUGGCUAAAGUGGUGCUAAAGUGCUUAUAGUGCAGGUAGUUUUUCUGUAUUCUACUGCAUAAUGAGCACUUAAAGUACUCCUAGCUGCAUGCCGACCCAAUCAGUC
rnacentral:pre_miRNA from 14 species